rnacentral:rRNA from 1 species
UACGAAGGGGGCUAGCGUUGCUCGGAAUCACUGGGCGUAAAGCGCACGUAGGCGGCUUUCUAAGUCAGGGGUGAAAUCCUGGAGCUCAACUCCCAGAACUGCCUUUGAUACUGGAGAGCUUGAGUCCGGAAGAGGUGGAGUGGAACUCCGAGUGUAGAGGUAGAAAUUCGUAGAUAUUCGGAAGAACACCAGUGGCGAAGGCGGCUCACUGGUCCGGUACUGACGCUGAGGCGGCGAAAAGCGUGGGGAGCAACAGG